rnacentral:rRNA from 1 species
CUUUCCUUGAUGACGACUGGCGCACGGGUGAGUAACGCGUAUCCAACCUUCCCAUAACUACGGGAUAACCCGUUGAAAGACGGCCUAAUACCGUAUGAUAUCGUUUGCUGACAUCAAAUAACGAUUAAAGGUUUAGCGGUUAUGGAUGGGGAUGCGUCUGAUUAGCUUGUUGGCGGGGUAACGGCCCACCAAGGCAACGAUCAGUAGGGGUUCUGAGAGGAAGGUCCCCCACAUUGGAACUGAGACACGGUCCAAACUCCUACGGGAGGCAGCAGGA